AUGGCCGAGAGGGAGAGCGAGAUCCAUGCCCGACACAAUGGCACCUCGCAGAUCUACAGUGUUUGGCCUCGAUCUCCUGCUGAGCCAGCCACGGUCGGGGGCGCGCUGGUCGCGCCCCGGCUUCCUCCUCCCCCUGCCAGAUCCAUUCGGGAUUUGAUAAUAAUGGGGGAGAGCAAAUGGAUGGGAAAAAGAUGGGAGGAGAUGGAUACUGAUGUUCUCGUGAAGAUAUUUAAGGAGCUAAACUUGGUUGAGCUAUCACCAGUAUCUCAAGUUUGCCGCUUAUGGCGUUUGGCCUGUUCAGAUCCACUUAUAUGGGGCACUCUUGACUUUGGGCUUCUAAAAUCCAACUUCAUUCAAACAAGAGCAUCUCCAUAUAUUUGGGUUGAUGACAGGUCUGACAAGAGGCUUGCAAAAAUACUACGGGUGGCAAUGGCAAUUAGCCGUGGAAAUGUUAAUUGUAUGAUAUUCCAUUACAAUCUGUACAUGAAAGAUGAACACCUGCAUUACAUCUCACAAAGAUCUCCUCAUCUAAAACGAUUGGUUAUGCCAGCAUGGAACCGCAUCUCAAGGGCGGGAAUAUGCCAAGCUAUUGAAAGGUGGGAAGAGCUGGAGUCCUUGACUAUGCCUACCAUUGGUCAUCCUCCAUAUAUCAUGGAGGGGUUAGCCAAUAACUGCAAGAACUUUAAAGAGCUCAAGAUCAUGGGUUCAUUUGAUCUCCUAUUUGCUUCAGCAGUUACCACAUACCUUCCAAAGCUGAAAGUCUUGAGCCUUCGUUGCUCAAAGGUGACAAUGGGUGCCUUGCAAUGUGUUCUGAACUCGCUGGAGCAUCUUGAGGUUCUGAAUAUUUCCCACUGCCUGCUGUUUGAGAUGGCGACGAAUGGGCGUAGGCAAGUGAUUCAUGAGCUAGAUAACAAAGCUCUCGAGAGAGCUUCCCGGCUGCGGGAGUUCCACCACUGCCAAAGCAGACAAUGCGUUGCAUGCCAGCGAAUGAUGCUGGAUGAAGGUAUCUUGCGGUGGUAUAGGUAUGAGGACUGGUUUUGGCGACGGGAUGAGGUGAGAUCGCUUGAUCUGAAAGAUUAUGGGAGGCUGUUUGGUGCACAGUGUGAGAUGCUGACAUCGGUGGAUUAG
rnacentral:rRNA from 1 species